UACGGGGGGGCAAGCGUUGCUCGGAAUCACUGGGCGUAAAGGGUGCGUAGGCGGGUCUUUAAGUCAGGGGUGAAAUCCUGGAGCUCAACUCCAGAACUGCCUUUGAUACUGGCGACCUUGAGUCCGGGAGAGGUGAGUGGAACUGCGAGUGUAGAGGUGAAAUUCGUAGAUAUUCGCAAGAACACCAGUGGCGAAGGCGGCUCACUGGCCCGGUACUGACGCUGAGGUGCGAAAAGCGUGGGGAGCAAACAGGG
rnacentral:rRNA from 1 species